rnacentral:rRNA from 1 species
AAGGCUUCGGGCCUACGUUGUUUUUGUCUUUCGCGGUCUUUAUAAUGUCAUGCGUUGGGAGCGCGGAGCGUGUUAGGAGUGAGCGAGUAGAUAGGCAAGGAGGUGGAGAGCAACGGGCCCCGAGGAUAGGACGUGAGGAGAGGGCGCGCGGGUGGUGGACAAGCUGGGCUGCGGGGCGGGGAGGUGUGCGCGGGGUGUAGGGUCAGCGAGCGGCGGUUACCGUUGCUGGCGGCGCCGGUACCGCGGGGGGAGGUGGAGGCGGAGGAGCCAGGAGGAGGAGGCGGCGGAGGGGAGGGGCCGGAGGCGGCGGGGGGCGACGACGGCGGAGCCGGGCGGCGGGGCGGAGGCGUGCCGGGCGGGCGCCCAGAGGGAGUGGUCGCUGCACAGGAGGAGCAGGCUGCACCGGCUCCUCCUCCGGCUCGUGCGCGGGUUCCAGCCGUCCGCGCACGCGCAGUGCCGCGGGGAGGCGCAGAUGGUGCAGCAGUUCCGCGGGCUGGACCUGUAGGUCCCGUACCUCCCGCAGUAGUUCGUCAUGCAGCCGCAGACCUUCCCGUUCGCGUAGUGGCGGUUGAAGGGGAAGUUCCAGCUCAAGGUCGAGUGGCAACUGUGCGUCGGGUUCGGCCAGUUCGAGAAGCAGGUGGAUGCGCUCCUGCUCAAGCUCAUGUAGCCCCUGCUUACUCUGGUGACAUGGAUGGAGAGACAUUGACAGGACAUGUACCGGUUCAUUCGGCUGUCGGAAGGAAUAUAUGUUAUUAUUACCGGCGUCGCAUCCGCACACAUAUAAAAAGGCCACACACGCACCACUCUCCCUACUUCCGACUUCUCCCAUCCUUAAUCCUUGCGUACUGGUCCUUCAACUAACGAACGAACGAGAGCAAGGGAACAAGGAGGAGAUUAAGUUGUAGAUAAAAAAGAGUCUACACCCCUUAACAAGCCUAUUACUACUAACUAUCAAGAUUUUAUUGUGGCUAUUAAAACGAGAAGGAACGUCGGAUACGAACUAUUAAAAUAAGGUUCUCGAAGAGAAUUAGACUAACGAUAUUAGUGUAACGACGAAGAUCCUUAUACAUAGGAAAUAAAUAACGUAGAUCCGAUAAAAAAAUUAAACAUUUUAUAUACAAGACAAUGCUCCCUUAAGCCAAUCCGUUGUUCAUAGAACGAAAACCUGUUGUGCUAUUCUAAAAACCU